rnacentral:rRNA from 1 species
GUCUUUUUGAGUUAUUUUUAAAGUCUGGCCUGCCCGCUGAAUUUUUGAAUGGCCGCAGUAUUUUAACUGUGCAAAGGUAGCAUAAUCAUUAGUCUUUUAAUUGAAGGCUGGUAUGAACGGUUGGACGAGGUAUAAGCUGUUUCAUGUAAAUUUACAGUAGAAUUUUAUAUUUUAGUUAAAAAGCUAAAAUGAGGUUAAAAGACGAGAAGACCCUAUAAAUCUUUAUAUUUUAUAUAGUUUAAAUUUUUUUGGUUUUUUUUAUUUUUAUUAUAUAGGAUAUUUUGUUGGGGUGAUGUUAAAAUUUGAUUAACUUUUAAUUUUUUUUAAAUCAUUAAUUUAUGAGUUAUUGAUCCGUUAAUAGCGAUUAUAAGAUUAAGUUACUUUAGGGAUAACAGCGUAAUUUUUUUGGAGAGUUCAUAUCGAUAAAAAAGUUUGCGACCUCGAUGUUGGAUUAAGAUAUAGUUUUAGGUGUAGCUGCUUAAAGGUUAAGUCUGUUCGACUUUUAAAUUCUU